AUUAUGGUUGCCAAUGAUUAGAAAUUGAUUGGGAUUAUUUGUUGGUUGUUUUAGGCGGAGAAUUCUCUUUAGGCGACUUUUGAAAGUGUUAAAGUGGUCUAUCAGUUUGUUUACACAAGUCUCUAAGGAUCAAUAAGCAUUGUCCAUCUGCAGGUUUGAAGAUGUUGCAUCAUUGGGAUCGGGAAUAGAGAGCUUGUAUUUAGUUUUGAUUUGCUAAGUUAACUUGGGUUUGUUAAUUGGGACUUUAAACUUGUCGUACUAUUUAUAUUUCCUUAUUUUCGUUGGUUGAUUUUUGGGGACUAAAUCUGUAAUCGAUUAUUUAUAAACCUAAAGUUAGUUUUAUGUUUUCCGCUGCAAAAUUCUGAAUAAGCCGUUACGUUUUCACA